GACGAACCGUGCGAACGUUGUUCGGAAUAACUGGGCUUAAAGGGCGCGUAGGCGGGCUUUCCAGUCUGGGGUGAAAUCCCGCGGCUCAACCGUGGAACUGCCUCAGAUACUGACGGCCUCGAGGGAGGUAGGGGCGUGCGGAACUGUAGGUGGAGCGGUGAAAUGCGUUGAUAUCUACAGGAACUCCGGUGGCGAAGGCGGCGCGCUGGACCUCUUCUGACGCUGAGGCGCGAAAGCCAGGGGAGCAAACGGG
rnacentral:rRNA from 1 species